AUUCAUAUGAUUUGCGAGGGUCCCGGACAGAGGGCGUUAUUGUUUUCUGCCGGGUUAAUAGGGAAGCCGGUGCAAGUCCGGCACGGUCCCGCCACUGUGAAGCAGGGACUUUUCCAUAUGCCACUGAGCCUUUAGCGCUUGGGAAGGCGGAGAAGUCGUUACAACCUGCAAGUCAGGAGACCUGCCCUCAGCGAAUGAAAGAC
rnacentral:ncRNA from 2 species